GACCUCAAAUCAGGUAAGGACACCCGCUGAACUUAAGCAUAUCAAUAAGCGGAGGAAAAGAAAAUAACAAUGAUUCCCCUAGUAACUGCGAGUGAAGAGGGACAAGCUCAAAUUUUAAAUCCAUCGGGUUUUACCUGAUCGAGUUGUAAUUUGAAGAAGCGUUUUCUGCGUAUUUGAUCAGCCUAAGUCCUAUUGAAUGAGGCAUCACGGAGGGUGAUAAUCCCGUCCGGUUGAUCAUUUGCGUUUUACGAUACGCUUUCUAAGAGUCAAGUUGUUUGGGAUUGCAGCUUAAAAUGGGAGGUAAAUUUCUCCUAAGGCUAAAUAACGGCGAGAGACCGAUAGCGAACAAGUACCGUGAGGGAAAGAUGAAAAGAACUUUGAAAAGAGAGUUAAACAGUACGUGAAAUUGUUGAAAGGGAAACGAUUGAAGCCAGUCGUACCUUCGGGUAAUCAGCCUUUCGGGUGCGAUUCUGUGGAGUUUGAGGAGCUUUAACACCUUCAUGCUUUGCAUAUUCGUACUCUUGGGUGUACUUGCCCGUGUGGUUGGUUAACAUCAAUUUUGGUGGUCAUAAAAUGACUGGGGGAAUGUAGCUUCGAUCUUGUAUUGAAGUGUUAUAGCCUUCGGUAGAUGUGAUGAUCGAGAUUGAGGAUUGCAACGGAUACCCUUUGGGGCUACCUGUCUGAUCUCUGAUCGUUGCUUUGGUGCCGAAAGCUUGCUUACGGUUAUCAAAGUCGAUGGUCAAUAGGUUAGAACGGGUUAAAUUCGUUAAGGAUGUUGACGUAAUGGUUUUAAACGACCCGUCUUGAAACACGGACCA
rnacentral:rRNA from 1 species